rnacentral:rRNA from 1 species
UACGUAGGGGCAAGCGUUGUCCGGAGUACUGGGCGUAAAGCGCACGCAGGCGGUCUUUUAAGUUUGGAGUGAACAGUUGGUGCUUAACUGCCAAAGUGCUUCGAAAACUGACAGACUUGAGGGCUUCAGAGGGACACGGAAUUCCGGGGUGGAGUGGUGAAAUGCGUAGAGAAUCCGGAGGAACACCAAAGGCGAAAGGCAGUGUCC